rnacentral:lncRNA from 1 species
AACAAUCAUUUUACGUCUCCAGCCCCCAUAACCACUACCCGAGAAGGGAGUGGGAACGAGAGAUACCCCAGGGACAUCAGAAGAAUAUACAAAAGGGGAUUGGAAGAGUCUAUAGAAGGGGAGGCACCAGUACUUGUGCUAGAAGCCAGAACCGGCUUAAAUGAACAACUUUUACAAACAGAGUACAACCAAAACAGGUAUUCACACACAACAACCAACAAAUAGAAUAUAGUCAAGUCAGGUAUUCACAGACAACACCAGAUGCUCACAAGUACGCAGUCACAUAUAAUACCGAAGAUAAGGACAGAGUUACCCUCCUUCUUCGCGACCGGAGAAGAUCGGCCUUCAAACAACAGAGAAACCCUAGGUAUAAAACCCUAGGUGUAACCUUGGAAAUCCUUACUGGAAAUGUGGUCAGGAACGUCGGAGAGGCACUCAAAACGUCCACUGAGUAAGAAUCGAGCCACCGGAAGGCAGUAAAACUUCAGGUUAAACCACCAGAAAUCCUAGAAGCCGAUAGGUCACCGAAAAUCAACCAAAAAUCAUCAUAAAAUCUUCCAAAAUGUUCAGGAGUAGAAAAUAUACUCCGAUAUCACGAUGAAAGACUCAGAAAAGUCUCCGAU